rnacentral:rRNA from 1 species
GGGUUGUGAGGUUAAGCGACUAAGCGUACACGGUGGAUGCCCUGGCAGUCAGAGGCGAUGAAGGACGUGCUAAUCUGCGAUAAGCGCCGGUAAGGUGAUAUGAACCGUUAUAACCGGCGAUUUCCGAAUGGGGAAACCCAGUGUGACUCGUCACACUAUCAUUAACUGAAUCCAUAGGUUAAUGAGGCGAACCGGGGGAACUGAAACAUCUAAGUACCCCGAGGAAAAGAAAUCAACCGAGAUUCCCCCAGUAGCGGCGAGCGAACGGGGAGGAGCCCAGAGCCUGAAUCAGCAUGUGUGUUAGUGGAAGCGUCUGGAAAGGCGCGCGAUACAGGGUGACAGCCCCGUACACAAAAGCGCAUGUGCUGUGAGCUCGAUGAGUAGGGCGGGACACGUGGUAUCCUGUCUGAAUAUGGGGGGACCAUCCUCCAAGGCUAAAUACUCCUGACUGACCGAUAGUGAACCAGUACCGUGAGGGAAAGGCGAAAAGAACCCCGGCGAGGGGAGUGAAAAAGAACCUGAAACCGUGUACGUACAAGCAGUGGGAGCACAGGUUUACCUGUGUGACUGCGUACCUUUUGUAUAAUGGGUCAGCGACUUAUAUUCUGUAGCAAGGUUAACCGUAUAGGGGAGCCGGAGGGAAACCGAGUCUUAAUUGGGCGUUAAGUUGCAGGGUAUAGACCCGAAACCCGGUGAUCUAGCCAUGGGCAGGUUGAAGGUUGGGUAACACUAACUGGAGGACCGAACCGACUAAUGUUGAAAAAUUAGCGGAUGACCUGUGGCUGGGGGUGAAAGGCCAAUCAAACCGGGAGAUAGCUGGUUCUCCCCGAAAGCUAUUUAGGUAGCGCCUCGUGAAUUCAUCUCCGGGGGUAGAGCACUGUUUCGGCUAGGGGGCCAUCCCGGCUUACCAACCCGAUGCAAACUGCGAAUACCGGAGAAUGUUAUCACGGGAGACACACGGCGGGUGCUAACGUCCGUCGUGAAGAGGGAAACAACCCAGACCGCCAGCUAAGGUCCCAAAGUCAUGGUUAAGUGGGAAACGAUGUGGGAAGGCCCAGACAGCCAGGAUGUUGGCUUAGAAGCAGCCAUCAUUUAAAGAAAGCGUAAUAGCUCACUGGUCGAGUCGGCCUGCGCGGAAGAUGUAACGGGGCUAAACCAUGCACCGAAGCUGCGGCAGCGAACGUAUCACCCAAGACAACUUUACGGAGUUGACGAUUGACGGAGCGAAGCGACGUCAAAGCGUUCAUUAAAGUCGAGUUGGCUUAGGGAUACGUUCGUUGGGUAGGGGAGCGUUCUGUAAGCCUGUGAAGGUGUGUCGUGAGGC